rnacentral:rRNA from 1 species
GCCAGACUCCUACGGGAGGCAGCAGUGAGGAAUAUUGGUCAAUGGGCUUACGCCUGAACCAGCCAAGUCGCGUGAGGGAAGACUGCCCUAUGGGUUGUAAACCUCUUUUGCCGGGGAGCAACGGGCGUCACGUGUGGCGCCACUGAGAGUACCCGGAGAAAAAGCAUCGGCUAACUCCGUGCCAGCAGCCGCGGUAAUACGGAGGAUGCGAGCGUUAUCCGGAUUUAUUGGGUUUAAAGGGUGCGUAGGCGGAAUGCCAAGUCAGCGGUAAAAUCGCGGGGCUCAACCUCGCUCCGCCGUUGAAACUGGCGUUCUUGAGUGGGCGAGAAGUAUGCGGAAUGCGUGGUGUAGCGGUGAAAUGCAUAGAUAUCACGCAGAACUCCGAUUGCGAAGGCAGCAUACCGGCGCCCAACUGACGCUGAAGCACGAAAGCGUGGGUAUCGAACAGGAUUAGAUACCCGUGUAA